rnacentral:rRNA from 1 species
ACGUAGGUGGCAAGCGUUGUCCGGAAUUAUUGGGCGUAAAGCGCGCGCAGGUGGUUAUAUAAGUGUGAUUUUAAAGUUCGGGGCUCAACCCUGUGAUGGCUUGGAAACUGUAUAACUUGAGUACAGUAGAGGAAAGCGGAAUUCCUAGUGUAGCGGUGAAAUGCGUAGAUAUUAGGAGGAACACCAGUGGCGAAGGCGACUUACUGGGCUGUAACUGACACUGAGGCACGAAAGCCAGGGGAGCAAACGG